GACGAACGCUGGCGGCGUGCCUAAUACAUGCAAGUCGAGCGAAUCAAUAGGAGCUUGCUCCUGUUGGUUAGCGGCGGACGAGUGAGUAACACGUGGGCAACCUGCCUGUAAGACUGGGAUAACACCGGGAAACCGGUGCUAAUACCGGAUAAUCCUUUUCCUCUCAUGAGGAAAAGCUGAAAGUCGGUUUCGGCUGACACUUACAGAUGGGCCCGCGGCGCAUUAGCUAGUUGGUGAGGUAACGGCUCACCAAGGCGACGAUGCGUAGCCGCCCUGAGAGGGUGAUCGGCCACACUGGGCCGGAGGCACGGCACAGACUCCUGCGGGAGGCAGCAGUAGGGAAUCUUCCACAAUGGACGAAAGUCUGAUGGAGCAACGCCGCGUGAGCGAUGAAGGCCUUCGGGUCGUAAAGCUCUGUUGUUAGGGAAGAACAAGUACCGGAGUAACUGCCGGUACCUUGACGGUACCUAACCAGAAAGCCACGGCUAACUACGUGCCAGCCGCCGCCGUAACAC
rnacentral:rRNA from 1 species